rnacentral:rRNA from 1 species
CGUAGGUGGCAAGCGUUGUCCGGAUUUAUUGGGUUUAAAGGGUGCGUAGGCGGUGUCCUAAGUCAGUUGUGAAAUACGGCAGCUUAACUGUCGUGGUGCAAUUGAUACUGGGACACUUGAGUACUGAUGAGGUAAGCGGAAUGGACGGUGUAGCGGUGAAAUGCUUAGAUAUCGUCCAGAACACCGAUAGCGAAGGCAGCUUACUAAGGAGUAACUGACGCUGAGGCACGAAAGUGUGGGGAUCAAACAGGAUUAGAUACCCUGGUAGUCCACACUGUAAACGAUGAUCACUCGAUGUUGGCGAUACACAGCCAGCGUCUUAGCAAAAGCGAUAAGUGAUCCACCUGGGGAGUACGCCGGCAACGGUG